rnacentral:rRNA from 1 species
AUUGAACGCUGGCGGCAGGCCUAACACAUGCAAGUCGAGCGGAUGAGGAAAGCUUGCUUUUCGAUUCAGCGGCGGACGGGUGAGUAAUGCCUAGGAAUCUGCCUGUUAGUGGGGGAUAACUCGGGGAAACUCGGGCUAAUACCGCAUACGUCCUACGGGAGAAAGUGGGGGAUCUUCGGACCUCACGCUAACAGAUGAGCCUAGGUCGGAUUAGCUAGUAGGUGAGGUAAUGGCUCACCUAGGCGACGAUCCGUUACUGGUCUGAGAGGAUGAUCAGUCACUCUGAAACUGAGACAGGUUCCAGACUCCUACGGGAGGCAGCAUUGGGGAAUAUUGGACAAUGUGCGAAAGCCUGAUCCAGCGAUGCCGCGUGUGUGAAGAAGAUCUUCGGAUUGUAAAGCACUUUAAGUUGGGAGGAAGGGUAUUCACCUAAUACGUGGGUACUUUGACGUUACCAACAGAAUAAGCACCGGCUAACUCUGUGCCAGCAGCCGCCGUAACAC